CGCCCCUAAAGUUUCCGACCCGCAAAAGUAUCAGGACUCCAUCUUGUUGGUUAUAAAAUUUAUUGAUCUCUCAUUUGGGAAUUAAGAGUAAAAUCUUGAAAAACCUGAAACAAAAUAGCCCCGAACACAUUAGCGUGACGAAAUAGCAAACAAAUCACGGCAAAAAAUCACCAACUCGACAGCCUAAAAGCUGACUGGACAGAAGCUGUCCCGCGGCCAGGGGCGGCGAGGCGGGAGACACACGCACACCUGGCUAUAAAUUAACAUUGGCUUUAGCUGUCGCGCCUCUCGGCGCGGUCAGCCCCCCAAAACAGCAUGAGGAAAACAGAUGCGACGCGACUGGGGGCAGGGGUGUCGCAGUUUCCAGGCCAGCCUCACCCGAGAGUCUGCUUUCUCCCAUCCACUUACUCCUCCCUUAACAGCAAACUAACGAGACAACAUUUUCAAAUGCAAUUGAAGAACCCGGGAGGAGGAGGGGGGCUGCUUUUUCUUCGCAAACCUCGCAGCGAGCGAUUCCCAGCCUACAGAGGGGGAGGGAGGGGCGGCGGCGAGGGGCAGGCAGCUCUAGAAAGUCCCAUUUCCGCUGCUCCGGACUUCUUUUUGCUUUUGUACAAAACCCCGACAGCUACAGCCAAACUUUCUGUCCUCCCCAUCUUCGGUACAAGGCAACAGUCCCAGCCUUCCUAA
rnacentral:lncRNA from 1 species